rnacentral:lncRNA from 1 species
CUCUUUACAUGCUAGCAACAAAGUUGUUUCUUCGUCAUUUUGUUUAUCAUUGACAAAGUUGGCUUAUUCCUCCUUCUCGUUUAAAGUGUUACGACAUUUUCAAGCAUAAUAUUCAUAUUUGUGAUAAUUGUAACAUUCAAUAUUUAAUUUGUUAGAAUUUCUAUAGUUACAUCUUCCUCUUCCUCUUCCAUGGUCUCUAUUUGAUGUUUGAC